GCUAACGAGUGGCCUGUAGCCGCUGUAAUACGUAGGCGGCGAGCGUGGUCCGGAUGUAUUGGGCGUAAAGGGGUCGUAGGCGGCUUGUCGCGUCUGCUGUGAAAACGCGGGGCUUAACUCCGCGCGUGCAGUGGGUACGGGCAGGCUAGAGUGUGGUAGGGGUGAUUGGAAUUCCUGGUGUAGCGGUGGAAUGCGCAGAUAUCAGGAGGAACACCGAUGGCGAAGGCAGGUCACUGGGCCAUUACUGACGCUGAGGAGCGAAAGCAUGGGGAGCGAACAGGAUUAGAUACCCUGGUAGUC
rnacentral:rRNA from 1 species